GGACCCGUAGCUCAGCGGUAGAGCAUCUGAUUCCAGCUUAGUCUGUAAACAGCAUCCAGAAGGUCAUCCGUUCAAAUCGGGUCGGGUUCA